GUUGCUGUCAUUUUGAAUAGCCUUUGAAUAGCCAUUUCUCUGUUUCACUCACACCCUUUCUUAGUUUUCUUUCCUGUUCUCUAGAUUUCCCCCUCCUCUAUAUACCAGUUUGAAAAUUCUUCUCUUCCUCCCUCUAUUGCCCUUUGAUUUUUCAGUAUCCAAAGAAUAUAUAUCUACUUUUGUGACAUCAUGAUCCAUCUCCAUGGAAACCAUUGUGAUAUUAUAAAGAUUAUCUAAAAUCCAGCUGAGUCUGCACAGUAGUCAAUAGCAGGAAGGAAGAGAGAAGGAAUCAUGGGACUAAGAGGUGGGGGAUGUUCAUGCUUGUCAACUGAAGAUGUACAGAUCACUCUGCAGUGAGGCAGGACAUUUACUCUUAAUGUGUUAGGAAAACUCCAAUUUUCCAAGAUUAUUUGGAGAGAAUAGAUUUUCCCCUAUUCCCUUCCUGGGCUAAUUAAAUGACUUCCUGAGCUUGUUUUAGAAAAGCAUUUCCGCUCCGACACUGCUACAGAAUUCUAGUUUCAGUUUGUAGGGAAAGACGCAAGAACAGAAACCAAAGGAGACAAAUGGGAGGCAGCAAAAGAAUCAGCCUUGAGGCUUCCAGAAGAUCAGUGUCAGUCAACUUUGGGUACACCUUGAGUGCCUCCUUAGGAAAAGACAAGGUUAAACAUCUAUUAGUUGGCCUCCAAAGUUGGCCAAUUUCAGAUCACUAAGCUUCAGGAAUAAACAGCAAGGAUACUUUGGGUUCAUGACAACCCACACAAGAGACAGUCUGGGAGAGAAGUGCCUUGGAAGAAGACACAACUUAAAAGCAACCUGGCCUCUCCAAUGACCAAAGCUCUCCCAUGCCACUCUUAAAGAACACCCAUAUACCCCUGCCCUCUGCCCAUCCAUCCAACCAAAGCUUCCAAGAUCACUUCAGUUUCUGCACUUCAUACUGGUGACAACAAGACCCUCUUCCCUUUACUGGGUUCUUGCAAAUAUGAAAGGAGCUGGUGUGGAUAAAGCACUCGGCACAGAGCCAGGCACAGAGCAAAUGCUCAGUACAGGCUAGUCAGUAGGAGACCCUGGAUCGGGACUGCUCAGCAAGACCCCCUCCUAGUAGCGACCUAGUAAAACCAGAUGGCCCUUACCACCCACCUAAGCUUCAGGAAAAAUCAAAUGUUUAGAAUAAAAUUAACAAAUCAAACCCAUUCUCCAAAAUAAAAACGUAGAAAGAAUAAAGCAGCCAGACUGACAAAACAAAAAAACAAAAACCAGGCCCUCCCGCUUUAUAGCCAAGCUCCAAGUUGAGUUAUUACUCUACUGGAUGCACUGAGUCCAUCUCCUUCAGACCUUUCUCCUUUUCCUGGCUAGCUGUUCACCCACAGCACAGGUACUGGGGUGAAAACAUUUACAAUGCAAUUUGAGGGCUAAGGGAAGAAUUAGAGGGGACAAGAGAGGCCCUCCAAACUGGAGGCCAAAAGGUAGGUCACAGGAGAUGGCAGGAGAUAACACAGCCUUUGGGUUGGACUGCUGACUCACUGAGGCUUCAAGCCAGGAUUUAUACGAAAGCAUGUGCCAGACCAUGUGCUUCGGAACCCUCAGGAUGCUUAUUCAAACUGCACAUUCCUGGGCCCCAUGGCAAAUCAAUUAAAGCAGAAUCUCUGGGAAUGGGACACAGGAACCUGUAUUUUCACUAGCUCACAGGAAGUUAGGAGCUAUAACUUUUCUGUGCCCAAAUGCCUCUGAGAUAAAAUGCAAAUUGUCAUUUACUAAUAGAGGAGGGAGGCAGCACCAGUGCCCCCUUUCUUUCUGCUGUCUUCUGUUUCCAUGUAAAGGCUUAGCUGAAGCCCCACUUCCUUUGUAAAUACUACCAUGGAAUCCCUUCUACCUGCUCCCUCCUCCUCCAGACACCUAAAAUGCUCAUAGUACAUUCCACAUAGUAUUCAUGGGUCCUAUUUAUAUGCUGUUCAAACGUGCUAAGCUUUGCUUCUCUAUCUAGUUUUUCAGUGCGUUUUGGUUUGGAUUAUAGCACUUCCUGGCUCCACAACCUUCAGUAACUCCCUUCUGCCUCGUGAAUUAUAAUGAUACAAGCUAACACUUAGAUAUGUUAUGAAGCUGCUGUGUGCUUGGAGUUUUAGACAUGUUGAUUCAUUUGAUCCUCAGGAUCCCAGCUUGUAUUAUUAUUAUCUGUAUUUUGCAGAUGAGAAAAUUAAGGCUCAGAGAGGUAAAAUAAUUUGUGCAUGGUCAUAAUACUGGAACCAAAAUUUGAACCCAGCUUGUUUGACUCCAGAGACCAACUCCCUUCCCACUGUAUCAGGCCUCUAUUUAACCAGAGGGUGUGACCCAUGCUGAUAAGGAUGAUAACAUGUUGAGCACAUGCCAGGUGGCAGACCCUUUGCGAAUACGCACUUCACACCUGAGUUUCCUCCUUUCAUCUUCAGAAUGACUAUGGAGUUGGUUCUGCUAUUAUCCUCACUUUACUGAUGAAAAACUGUGGCUGUGAAAAGUUAAGCAUCUUGGCCAAAAUUAAAUAUUAAUAGCUGGUAGACAAUGAAAAUGAAUCAGAGACCAAGACAUCUGAUCCCAGAGUCUGUCACCUUAACUACUACUGCUGUUGCCUAGCCCAAUGCUCUGAACAUCAAAGAUGCUAAGUGCUUGUUGGGCUGAAUGGCGCCAAUGUGCAACACUGAACUGCACCAGUGUCCAACAUGCUAUACAAACACAAAAGGUGUUGCCACAAGCUGCCUGAGUGGCUCUUCAGCUCAACAGCAUAUACUAAAUAUAAGCUGCUGGGGACAUGGGUGAGCUUCCUGCCAACCACUUUCUCUCGGCUCUACCCAUGUACACCAUACAUCCCUGUGUACACAACUCAUGUCUUCUGCCCUCCUUCACUCACCAUGGACAGGGAGCAAGUGUGUGACUAAGGUCUCUAAUGGCUGACUGUCCCCAAAAGAAGUCUUAACUAAAAGAGGUGCAGACCCCUGGGUAAUUAAAGUACAUUCACUCAUUUAACAAAUGUUUACUGAGCACCUACCACGUGCUAGACACCAUGCUAGGUCCUUGCACAUAGCACAGAACAAGCAGACCAGAUUUUGCUCGGCAGGACAAUCAAGCAAUAAGCAAGCAUAUAAUUUUAGGUAGUGGUAAAAGGAGAGAGAAAGACUAGAGCAGUGGGUAGUGCAAGUACAACGGCCCUGUGACGGGAAAAAGCUGGGCAUGAUUUUAGAACAGUGGUGUGCAUCUAUUUCUUAAAGGGCCUCAUAGUGAGAGUGUCUCUCUCCUUAACUCUGCCACUGUAGUGCCACAGAUAACACGCAGACACAAAGGCAUGAGUGUCUGUGUUCCAGUAAAGCUUUAUUUACAAAAACAGGUGGCGGGUUGGAUUUGACUGGCAGGUCAUAGUUUGCUGACCUUACUUGAGAACAUAAAGAAGGCCUGCAAAGCUGCAGUAUGUCAAGUGAGGGUGAGAGGAGGUCAGAGGGGUAGGAACUAGGCCCUAGGGGCCUUGUAAGUCAUUCUCAGAGCAGUGGGAGGCCACUGAUAGAUUUUAAGCAGGAAAUAACAUGAUGUGAUUUUCAUUUUCAAAGAUGACUCUUGCUGCUAUGUGAAGAAGGGGUUCUGGGAGCAAGAGUGGAAGCCAGUGACAAGAUGUGUCAGGCGGCCAGUGGAAGCGCCCAGAUGCAGCCAGGACCCACGGAAUCAGGUGCAGCACCCACUGCCCAGACAAAAGUGAGGAAAAACUGUCACUGUGAACUAUGAGAGCAUCAGGGCCUUUUUCGAAGAUGGAUACAAUGAUGAUGAUGGUUUUAAUAAUAAAAAUAUUAAUUUAGUGAAUGCUUAA